UUAAAAUGCAAUACAGAUUUAUACAAAAUCUGAAAGUAGAAGGUAGAGACAUUAUAGUAAUUUUGGGGGGAAAGCAUGAUGAAAAGUAACAGAGGUGCAAUUGUGGUGAUGAUUAUGUUGGGUUUUGUACAAAUUCUAAGUGUUGAGGCAAUAAACACUUGUCCUCCAAAGUGCGCUUUACUAUGUUUUGUUUCUGAUGGCCCAUCAUACGAGGACUGUUAUGAUCAAUGUAUUGCAAAAUGCAAUAAAAUGCCAGCCAUUGCCUACAAUUGUAUUACAAAGUGUGGCGUGAACAAGACAGUCACUGUUACUAUUGAUGAUCGUGGUCAUGUGACUGAUGUGGUUGAUUCCUGUUUGCAAAAUUGUCCCAGCUUGGAAGAGUAAUUAAUUGCUUACUUGUAACAACAUUCCAGAGCACAAUUAGACUUUUUAUUUAUACAUGUUUGUAAUAAAACUUUGAAAAAUAAGUUUUAUAAUAAUUUGUGCUCUAGUUCUUUUUGAUUUUAAAAUAUUAACGACAAAAUUUGGUAACUUAA